rnacentral:rRNA from 1 species
AACGAACGCUGGCGGCAGGCCUAACACAUGCAAGUCGAACGCUCCGCAAGGGGAGUGGCAGACGGGUGAGUAACGCGUGGGAACCUACCUUACGGUCGGGAACAGCUCAGGGAAACUUGGGGUAAUACCGGAUACGCCCUUACGGGGAAAGAUUUAUCGCCGUUAGAUGGGCCCGCGUAGGAUUAGCUAGUUGGUGAGGUAACGGCUCACCAAGGCGACGAUCCUUAGCUGGUCUGAGAGGAUGAUCAGCCACACUGGGACUGAGACACGGCCCAGACUCCUACGGGAGGAAGCAGUGGGGAAUAUUGGACAAUGGGCGCAAGCCUGAUCCAGCCAUGCCGCGUGAGUGACGAAGGCCUUAGGGUUGUAAAGCUCUUUUGGCGGGGAAGAUAAUGACGGUACCCGCAGAAUAAGCUCCGGCUAACUUCGUGCCAGCCGCCGCCGUAAAAC